UAGGAUAAGUUCAUUGACUUAAUGAGGGGAUUGUCCGUUUAGAAUUUAGAUGGCCUGAGAUGAAUAAGAUGUUGAUUGGAUGGAUGACUUAGUUUGAAUAGCAAGUAUCAUACUUUGUAUUCUGCAAUACAAAAAGAUAACUCAGAGUUUUAAUGCAUGCAUUAGUGACACUUGAAAGUGAAACAUGUUUGGCAUUUUCACUUGUAAUCGAUGAAAUAGUUAGUUACGAUAUUGAGUGACUACUGAUUGUGAUUUAUUGUUGUUUUAAUAUAGGUGUUCAAUGUACUCGAUAAAUUGAUCUCUUCUGACUCUCAACUGUUUGCCAAGAUGGAGAAUGUAGUAAGAAUUGUUUGAUGUAUGAUGUAUGAGGUUUUCACCCGACCCUCUCGGCAAAAAAUUACACAAGGUAAUUCUUUACUUUUUAUAUGUACGUUUAGAUUUUGAGUCCCCUGUAUACAAAAUUCACUUUGAUGGAAAUCUUAGAUUCGUCAUUGUUGGCAGAUGUGUGAUUCUGAACAAAACAUUGUGUGCUUGGAUUCUCA
rnacentral:lncRNA from 1 species